UACGAAGGGGGCUAGCGUUGCUCGGAAUCACUGGGCGUAAAGCGCACGUAGGCGGAUUGCUAAGUCAGGGGUGAAAUCCUGGAGCUCAACUCCAGAACUGCCUUCGAUACUGUCGAGCUUGAGACCGGAAGAGGUAAGUGGAACUGCGAGUGUAGAGGUGAAAUUCGUAGAUAUUCGCAAGAACACCAGUGGCGAAGGCGGCUUACUGGUCCGGUUCUGACGCUGAGGCGCGAAAGCGUGGGGAGCAAACAGG
rnacentral:rRNA from 1 species